AUUGAACGCUGGCGGCAGGCCUAACACAUGCAAGUCGAGCGGAGGAAGGGAGCUUGCUCCUGGAAUCAGCGGCGGACGGGUGAGUAAUGCCUGGGAAUCUGCCUGGUAGUGGGGGAUAACGUCUCGAAAGGGGCGCUAAUACCGCGUACGUCCUACGGGAGAAAGCAGGGGAUCUUCGGACCUUGCGCUAUCAGAUGAGCCCAGGCUGGAUUAGCUUGUUGGUGAGGUAAUGGCUCACCAAGGCGACGAUCCGUAGCUGGUCUGAGAGGAUGAUCAGCCACACUGGGACUGAGACACGGCCCAGUCUCCUACGGGAGGCAGCAGUGGGGAAUAUUGGACAAUGGGCGAAAGCCUGAUCCAGCCAUGCCGCGUGUGUGAAGAAGGUCUUCGGAUUGUAAAGCACUUUAAGUUGGGAGGAAGGGGUUGAAGCUAAUACCUUCAAUC
rnacentral:rRNA from 1 species